GAAAUGCGAUAAGUAGUGUGAAUUGCAGAAUUCAGUGAAUCAUCGAAUCUUUGAACGCACAUUGCGCCCCUUGGUAUUCCAUGGGGCAUGCCUGUUCGAGCGUCAUCUACACCCUCAAGCUCUGCUUGGUGUCGGGCGUCUUUGUCCCGCCUCCGCGCGCGGACUCGCCCCAAAUUCAUUGGCAGCGGUCCUUGCCUCCUCUCGCGCAGCACAUUGCGCUUCUCGAGGUGUUGCGGCCCGCGUCCAGAAAGCAAUCGUUACCGUCUUUGACCUCGGAUCAGGUAGGGAUACCCGCUGAACUUAAGC
rnacentral:misc_RNA from 1 species